GUAGGUGGCAAGCGUUGUCCGGAAUUAUUGGGCGUAAAGCGCGCGCAGGGCGGUCCUUUAAGUCUGAUGUGAAAGCCCACGGCUCAACCGUGGAGGGUCAUUGGAAACUGGGGGACUUGAGUACGGAAGAGGAAAGCGGAAUUCCAAGUGUAGCGGUGAAAUGCGUAGAGAUUUGGAGGAACACCAGUGGCGAAGGCGGCUUUCUGGUCUGUAACUGACGCUGAGGCGCGAAAGCGUGGGGAGCAAACAGGAUUAGAUACCCUGGUAGUCCACGCCGUAAACGAUGAGUGCUAAGUGUUAGGGGGUUUCCGCCCCUUAGUGCUGCAGCUAACGCAUUAAGCACUCCGCCUGGGGAGUACGGCCGCAGGGCUG
rnacentral:rRNA from 1 species